rnacentral:rRNA from 1 species
CCUACGGGGUGCUGCAGUGAGGAAUAUUGGUCAAUGGUCGGGAGACUGAACCAGCCAAGCCGCGUGAGGGAUGAAGGUACAGAGUAUCGUAAACCUCUUUUGUCAGGGAACAAAGGCGGGGACGUGUCCCCGGAUGAGUGUACCUGAAGAAAAAGCAUCGGCUAACUCCGUGCCAGCAGCGGCGGUAAUCCGGAGGAUGCGAGCGUUAUCCGGAUUUAUUGGGUUUAAGGGGUGCGCAGGCGGUCGUUAAAGUCAGCGGUAAAAGCCCGGGGCUCAACCCCGGCCCGCCGUUGAAACUGGCAGUCUCGAGUUGGAGAGAAGGAUGCGGAAUGCGCGGUGUAGCGGUGAAAUGCAUAGAGAUCGCGAAGAACUCCGAUUGCGAAGGCAGCAUGCCGGCUCCACACUGACGCUGAGGCACGAAAGCGUGGGUAUCGAACAGGAUUAGAUACCCGUGUAGUC